GGUUGGAUGGCCGAGCGGUCUAAGGCGCUCGACUAAGGAUCCGCUCUUGUUUGAGAGCAAAUUUUCUUAUGGGAAUCUGGUCCUCCGGGGCGUGGGUUCGAAUCCCACUCCAAUCA